rnacentral:rRNA from 1 species
AUUGAACGCUGGCGGCAUGCCUUACACAUGCAAGUCGAACGGCAGCACGGGUGCUUGCACCUGGUGGCGAGUGGCGAACGGGUGAGUAAUACAUCGGAACGUACCUUAUCGUGGGGGAUAACGCAGCGAAAGCUGUGCUAAUACCGCAUACGCCCUGAGGGGGAAAGCGGGGGAUCGCAAGACCUCGCGCGAUUAGAGCGGCCGAUGCCUGAUUAGCUUGUUGGUGGGGUAAAAGCCCACCAAGGCGACGAUCAGUAGCUGGUCUGAGAGGACGAUCAGCCACACUGGGACUGAGACACGGCCCAGACUCCUACGGGAGGCAGCAGUGGGGAAUUUUGGACAAUGGGGGCAACCCUGAUCCAGCAAUGCCGCGUGAGUGAAGAAGGCCUUCGGGUUGUAAAGCUCUUUUGUCAGGGAAGAAACACCGGCUCUAACACAGUCCGGGAAUGACGGUACCUGAAGAAUAAGCACCGGCUAACUACGUGCCAGCAGCCGCCGUAAUAC